GUUGGGCACUCUAAUGAGACUGCCGGUGACAAACCGGAGGAAGGUGGGGAUGACGUCAAGUCCUCAUGGCCCUUAUGGGUAGGGCUUCACACGUCAUACAAUGGUACAUACAGAGGGCCGCCAACCCGCGAGGGGGAGCUAAUCCCAGAAAGUGUAUCGUAGUCCGGAUUGUAGUCUGCAACUCGACUACAUGAAGUUGGAAUCGCUAGUAAUCGCGGAUCAGCAUGUCGCGGUGAAUACGUUCCCGGGUCUUGUACACACCGCCCGUCACACCAUGGGAGCGGGUUUUACCAGAAGUAGGUAGCUUAACCGCAAGGAGGGCGCUUACCACGGUAGGAUUCGUGACUGGGGUGAAGUCGUAACAAGGUAGCCGUAUCGGAAGGUGCGGCUGGAUCACCUCCUUU
rnacentral:rRNA from 1 species